AGCGCACCCUCUCUCUCUCCCUCGUCUUCCGCCGCCGCCGCCCGACAGCGGCGCCGCCCGACGUCUCCCUCUCCUUCCCAGCAUCCUUUUUCCCUCUCCCUUGACCCCUUUCUUCCCAGCCUUCCUCUCUCCCCCAACCUCUCUCUCCGUCGUGGCCAGACAGCCAUCUGACGCCGGCCCCCUGCUCCGGCGAGCAGCCAGCCGCUGCCGCCUCUACUCCCGCCGUCAACAGCGCAGCUGUAGCGCCGCUGGGACAGCAGCACCGCAGCAGCCACCAGACGCCCUCUCUUCCUCUUCUAAACCCUAUGCCCCAAAUCCUCUUCAACUUCUUCUAUUUUCUAUUUCAAGUUUUCUAAUUUCCUUUCUGGAAAAGUAGUAGAAUUUUACUCUCUAUGUUUUCUCAUGAA
rnacentral:lncRNA from 1 species